UAUUUGCAGUUGCGACAUGGACACUCUCACUCUGUCUCCCCCACUCUUUCCCUCUAAAAGAGGAUUCUUUGCUUUCAGGAAUGGUUCCUGAGCUCUGCUUUGUUGUAGGAAUACAAAUACUGAGAGGAUAGGAAAGCUGAAAAGACAAAGGUUAAUAGAGAUUCCCCAUAAUAAAAUUCUGAUCAAUGAAGAGAGUGACAAAAGACUACUCAGCUUGAGUUUAUGGUACACCGUUUUGAAAAGAUCUUGAAGACAAAUUUUGGAACUAAUUUGGUAUCAAGGCAAUAUAGAGGAUAAGAUGGGGAAAUGAGAUUUUAAAGAAAUUUAGCUAAGUAUUCUGAAAGUAGUCCCACCCCCCCUCCAGCACAGUCAGGAGAAACUGUUGUAAAGGAUUAAAUAGUGUGUAUCUACUUUUCAGUUGCCAGACAGCUGUUUCUUUGAAUAAAAGUCUACAUGGGAUUGGAUCACAAAUUAGCUUGUUUGUAUGGAUUAUGUUUUGAAAAGAAAGAAAAUGGAUAAUUAGCUCUAUCAUCACCGAAGUUUGAAAUCAUAAAAUACUCUGAUGCCUCCUUUAGCUAUCUGUUGUUACACAGUAAAUCAUCCCAAAAUUUAGCAGCUAAAAACAAUAAUAAGCACUUACUAUGUCUCACAGGUUCAUCCCCAUGUGGAUCUCCCUGUAGGACUUUUGAGUGACCUCACAACAUGGUGGCUGGCCUCCCAUAGAGUGGGCAAACCAAAAGAGCAGGUGGAAGCUGCAUUGUCUUUUAUGACCUAGGCUUGGAAGUCAUAUGCCAUCACUUGUACCAUGUCCUACUGGUCACACAGGUCAGCUCUAAUAUGAGAGGGACUCACCAAAGCAUGAGUACCAGGAGGCAAGGAACACUGGGGAGGGAGCUCAUGUUGAAGACUGGGCCUUUCUGUGGAGUUCUGGACUGUCAGCCUGCGGUAGAACUCUCUGCAGUGGUGGAACUAGUCUAUAUCUGCACUGUUCAGUGGGGUGUCUAUUGAGCACUUGACAUGUGGCUAAUUUCAAAAUGGGUGCUCUGAAUCAUCGGGCAGCUCUCCUGAAUCACAGGACCAAGCGUCUUUCAUCUUAUGACUCCACCAUCUUCAACUCUGGCCUCCAAGGUCAUCCUGGAGCCCAACAUCCACCAGCAGAGUAAGAGGAGAGGGCAUGGAGCGACACAAAUGGUUUGUGGCCAAAGUUCAGACUGCUUAAAUUACGUGCCAUCACCCAUACUCACCAGCACUCUGAGAAACAACAAGCCGCUCAGUGAUGGUAAACAACACUCACGAGGAAACCACUUCAAAAAGCUCAGGAACGCCCUCACAAGCCCUAGGAUUCAUUCUAAUUGUACAUACACGGGUCAUAUAACCAUUCCUGAAACAAUUAUUAUGGUCAAGGAAGAUUUGGCACAUUGAACAAGCUUGGGUCAUAUUCUGUUCUCCACAAGUUGGACGUAGAACCUUGGCAAACAAAUGGAUUGAUAUUGAGGUAAGAGUUGAUAUGCCAGAAAAAAUCAUGGAAUUAGUUUUGUUUUUUGGGUGUUUUGUUUUGUUUUGUUUUGUUUUGUUUUUUUAAGUGAAGAUGUCAAGGAAAGACAGGGAAUAGAUACUGGAGUCCAAAAACGUCAUGGGCUUUUAGGAAUUGUAAUUAGGCUAUUUUUAUUUUAAUAAUCAUUAAUGUUAAGAAGUAGUUGUAGGUAAGUCUAAAAAGGCAAAUUAAAUGCAAUUUUAGAAAUUCCAACCUGGAAUACAAGAUAGGUCACCUACUCCUUAAAAUUUAGGGAAUCAUGUAUUUUUUGAGGUGGGAAGUUAUUUGAUGUGUUUAAUGAGAGCAGUUUUUUUUUUUAAAGAAUAUUAACUUGAUAAUGGUAUGCAGGAUAGAUUAAGAUUGAAAAAAAACUAGUUGAGAAAAUUACAAUCCAAAAACAGAGUGAUAAUUGAUAGUAGUGGCAGUGGCGGAGGGAUGAUAAAGAAUUGACACAUUGAGUUACAUGAGAAAGGAAGAAUUGACAGGUUUCCAUGUCUGAUGUGAUGUGGGGAAAUAAGGAGGAAUCAAAGAUGAUUUAAAGGUUUAAAACUUGCACAGGGAGAUUAUAUUUGGGCAAGAUGAUGGACUUUAGUACAUUGAGUCUGAGAUGCCUAUUAGACAUUAGACGUUCAAAUGGUGCGUAAGCAGUUUUGCAACUAUAAUAUGGGAAAAUGAUCUGCUGUAGAGAGAAAGAUUUAGAAGGCAUCUACAUAAAGAUAUUUGUUGAUAAGAUUCCUCAGUGAGAGCAGAGAUUAUGUAAAGCAAAGGUCUGGGACAACUUGGGCAGUUGCCACCAUUGGGACAGAGUUGAGGUAGGACAAAUCAACUGAAGAAGAAGAAACAGAAGAGUAAAAGGACAAGUAGUGUGUGUCAAGGGAGGGGAAAUCUUAAAAUUGCCCAAUGCUACACAGUGUGACACUGAGUCACUGAAGAUCUUGAAGUUUCAACAGAGUGAAGAUGAAGUUUCAGAAGAGCUAAAUUUUGAAGUGUUAAUGAAAUGGCAAAUGGUAAGGAAAUGGUGUUAAAAGUCAGGGAGGAGAUAAAAUGGUAGAUUAAAGACACAUUGUAGUUGAACAAAGGUUUCCCCAGGACUGAGCAGACCUGUGCAUUUUUAAAUCAGAGGAAAGAAUACCAGAGAAGAGGAAGAGAUUUUGUUGUUGUUUUGUUGGUUUGGGUUUUUUUUGUUUUGUUUUGUUUUGUUUUGUUUUUUGACUGUUUUUAGUUUUUUCAGAAUACUAGUAAUAAUAAUGAUACCUUUUAUUGACACCUAAUAUGUGUCAAGCACUAUGGUAAGUGCUUUUCAGUUAUAUUUUUCCAGUUAUUAUACUCAUUUUACAGAUGAAGAAGUGAAAAAUCAGAAAGGUUAAGUAACUUGACAAGAUCAGUCAGCUGUUGAGUGGUGGAGCAGGAUCAAUGUCCCUUGAAGUGAAUUCACUUUCAAUGAUACCCUACAGUCUCUGAAGUUCCCAACAGUGCUAGCAUGAUAUAAUCCAUCAGAAAGUUCUCAGAGAAAGAGCCUGGGUAUAUUAUGAAAAUCUUCCAGGGACUUCUGACAAGGACCCAUGAGUUUACCUCAGCAAAGCAAACAAGUGCCCUGUCUCUGGAGCCUUCUCUUCUGUACCCAUUUACUAAAAACGAUAAUAUGUAGUUAGUUACACAUGGUUUGAAUUUUGUAUCACGAAUGAAUCUUUGAAGGUAAACAAGCUUCCUUUCUUUUAUUAGAUAAAAAUUAUAUAGUUCUUUUGCAUUUUAAAUUAAGAAAAGCUGAGAACCAAAUUAAGAACUCUGCUGAGAUAAGAGAUCAACCCAAUUACUUGAAUAUAUCUAUUCCCUAGUGGCCUUAUUCUUUCAGUUGUUGUUUUAUAUUUAUUUCGAAUUCUUUCAAGUCAUUUGGAUAUCCUUUGGGAAAGUAAGUGGUGUAUGUGUGGAUUUAUGCUGUAUAUACUGCUUUGUUGGUUGGCAAUCCUUCUCUCUGAAGGAUAGGUAGGUUUUCAGCAGGAAGACAUGUUGGUGAAAAGGACAUUCCAGAUGAAAAAUAGCAGAGGUAAAUAAGCAGAGGCAAACAAGCUCAUUUCAGAACGCAAGAAAUAGUACAGUUUGAGGAUGUUGUAGAAACACAGAAUAAAAUGUGUAAGUUAAGAAGUUGUUGGGGCUCCUGAGUGGCUUGGUUGGGCAUCUGACUCUUGA